GGCGGUUGGAAGAUAGUUAAGUGAGAGUCUUUGACCGUUUCUGUUAUGUUAUUCAGCCAGUCAGACGGAUACAGGGGAGGGGGGCGGGAUGAAGUGAGAGACACGUGCAGAGGAAGGUGAAGGAUAAAGACACAGGCCCGGGAACAAAAGCAACAGCAGUUAGUAUGAAACAGAAAGGUAGCGACUACCUUAGUCACCAUGACAACAACACAUUUAAAACCAGCAUUUAAUUGGUGGUGUCUGCACUUGUCUGUUGUAUCUCCAUCCAGCUCCCUCUGUGUACAGUAAUUACACUGGGAUUUGUAAGUAUCUUGCACCAGCACAGACCUGCCUGCGAUAUGGUAUAUAUUAUACUGUAUGGUUUGUGAGGUUACGCUGUAAUAUAUGACUGCCACUUCAGAUUAGAUUGAGUCAGUAUAGAUUAGUCAUGAUAGGUGAAAUAAAUCAAGCACAGGCAUCUUGAGGAAGAUACUCAAGUUCCGUGUAACGAGAGCAAGGAUUUCUACUAGUUUGUACUUGUUUGUGAGAAACUGGGUGUCACAUGUUUAUCUAACAUCCUAAAUAACUCCUGAAAACUGUGGUACCAGACGUAAAGGUUACCUAUCUGCACAUUGUCCGGCAAAUUUGAAUUUAAGGCGGAUUCUUUGUUUCAGCGUUGGAUUGCAAAGGCAACCUUUGUGCAGAAUUUACUGUUGCUUCUACACCAGUGUAAUAACCAAUUAGUUGCAGUUUUUCAGGUUGGGAUUUGUGUGAAAAGUAGGUGUGGUACACAAGCUUGACUCCUGGCUUUUGCACAAAACCAAGUCCCUGGACCUUAAAAGAGUUUUGACAUCUCGCUUCAAACAAGUCUUGUCUUAAACCUUUUUCUAAUCGUUACUUCGUCAGUGCACAAAACGUUUUGGAGAAGUGAAAGCCCUGGUUGGCAAACAGCUAUUUACCGCUUUUCAAGGUGCAGAGCUCUGAAUGUGUCUUUCAGGCCCCCCACAGGUUAUUUGUCUAUUUUCAGAGAACUGUAGGCGGUGAAAAGCCUGUAGUCGAGCCAGGACAAGACGAAAUGUUCUUUUAAGAGUGUGACAGCAGCACUGAUACCGACAUAUAUGCAGGAAGAGAGGACAAUAAGAGGAAUCACUGUUUUAACGGAACUAUAUGAAUGUUGGAUAUGGAGAAAUACAAACAAAAAGAUAUAGGCUAUUCUUUUAUAGCUCAUCAAGGAGAAAAGCCUACCUAGAUUUGUGUUUGAUACAUCCUGAUUUCAUGAGAAAUUGCUUAUUGAUAUGAUUUAAAGUGUCGCCUUCAAUGAGCCGAUGAGUAAAUUGCAUGCUAAAUUGAAACAUUUUUACACAUUGGUCAAACUCCCACAUGUACAGCCAGUUGGCCUAACUCGGCUUCAACUGACCUCAAAUACAAUUUACAUUUCUUUUUUUCGAUUUCGAAUGGCAAUUCACAGGUAAGUAGAUAAAAGUGCUUAUAAGGAGAUACGGUAUUUUCUUAUGCUCAUUUCAUUGUUUUGUUUCCUCAUCAAAUUGGUGAGCCUUAAAGUUUAUGGUAACUUUAAUACCUUUAUACAAAUUUCAUUUUAUUAAGGUCAAAAGAAAAGAUAAAUGAUAAAAUGUUCAUUUAGCAGUUAUUAUUAUUAUUAUUAUUGUUAGUUUGCGACUGCGGAUUCUGCGGGACCCAAAAACAACAUGUCAACAAGGCGCAAGCGUUAAUAGAACAAAGAGGAGAAAGUAGCAACUCUUGAUCACAAACACACAGUAGGUGUUUUGAUGUAAAAACACCCAGACUCAGCUGUGCAUUCCUGUGAAGUGAAUUCAUUCCCUGCACCUCCUGGGAAACACACACCAACACACUUACUUACACUCAAACACCUUCUCUCUCUCUCUCUCUCACGGACACACACACACACACACACACUGUGGAGUAUUGUGGCUGUGUCUGAGCCUGCAGUUGAUAAGAUAGGGUUGGGUUGCACAGCUCGCAGGCAUGUAUUGUAGCCGUUGACAGGAAGCUGAAACAGGGCGGGAUGGUGCGGCUUCAAAUCUACAUGCCUGUUUGUGUCUGUUUGCAUGUGCAUGCGUGCGUGUGUGUCUGUCCCGUCUAACGCUGGCCAAACUGUUUCCCAAAUAUACACUUUUCCCACACGAGUGCCUCAUUUUACUCGUGGGCUGAGUGGGUUCUUGUGCUCCGCGUGAAUGAAUGCGUCUGCCCCAGAAAAGAUUAGAGAGAGAGGAGCCAAACUCAAGGUCUGUCUGCAUUCUGCCAUUUGCCCACCAGACGGGACCGUGGGGCGACUGUACUAGCUGGCACUAUUGUGUUCUUGUGAAUGGAGGCCCUGUCACAGACCCACAAACACACUGACCUCGCUCUGUUAUCUACCCGAGUCACGGGGUUCAAGCGCUGCAGGGUGAGUUAUUAAUCAUAGAGGCAUCUGUGAUUCUCAUGUAUUUCGCAAACUAAUGGAAUACGUGCGAAAACAGCGACUUCCCAGUCCGGUAUCUGCAACUAGCUUAGAAAUAAUAAUAUUGUAUUUGUGGACAUUUCACAAGUGAAAUGUUUUAAUUCACAAAUGCAAUAUUUCAUAUAGAUCUAGUUCAAUGUUUCCCAAACUAUCAUGUUUUUAGUUACAAACAAUGACAACCCAGUUCCCCCCUGUAUAAAAUAUGAAGAGCAAUCUGGUGCCUCCCUCUUUUACUCUAAAUGUCCACGUCUUGAGUUAGUAAACUAGCCAUUUUGCAGAGAUAUACGAUACAUAAAAGCUUGUGUAAAAUGAGAAGACAUGAAUGCAUUUAGGCAGAGUUAACUGGGCAUCUCCUUCUUUCAUUUUUCUCUAAUCAGUAAGAGUCGUAUGCGCAGACUAAAAUAAUGGGACGUUGUUUUUCAACCCCGGUCUCGGGGAACAACAGCUUGGAAGCGUGUCCGCAGGUAUCAGAGAUAAGCACUUACAGUGGCAUACAGUGAAUGGAAUUCUUUCAAGCACUAAGGGUUCGAUGUGGGAAUAUUGAUUGGCUACAAGGUCAGGUAUUGCUUUGCAUAUCCAAUGGGUUCAUUGAAAAACAUCAGACCAUCAUUUGUAUGACUCAAAGCCACACAAAUAAGCAAUACAUGCAAAUCCAGACAAAAAGAAUGAGGUUGAUUUGUUUUGUUGACACUAUAAACAAAGUUCCUUCUAGUUUAUUCGUCUCCCCACCACAUGCGCAAGAGGUAUAGCGCAAAUUACUUUUUGCAUUGAAUCCAUUACAACUUGCAUUUCAGGGGCAACGGCAAACUCCUGUUUUGCACAGCGUUUUUUUACCUCGCAAUGCGACGUGAAAGGAUAUUCCAUUAGUUUGUGGGGGUCACAGUCAAACAGCUCGUCUGGGAGAGGAGCCUCUCUCCCUAUGUGCCGUCCUCAGCGAGAGGGAGAUAAAAGAGAGGUUAGCGGUGUGUGAAUAGAUGACUCACACUGUGUAGGUGCAGGAAAAAUAGAUUAGAGUCCUGUGGACCCUCAGGGUUUUAUUUUACCUCGAAUUUAUCUUUUGAGAGUGAAAGAAAGGUGCAAAAAUAAAGGCUGUUGCUCAGAGCAACAUGACAGAUAGCAGCCAUUUAUCAAUCCAUCUAUAUCUAUAUUAGAUAUAGAUAUAGAUAUUUAAUCAUUUCGUCUAGAUCUCUUUUGAUCUAAAUAUUUGUUUUAAAUAUAUAAAUAUGUGUUUUGUCCUGCUCAUGUCCUGCUGCGUGGGCGUGUGAAGUGUCGGUCGGCAGAGCUAUUACACUGUUCUGCGAUGAAGAACUAUGAUGAUGAUCUGCAUUAUGGCACAACUCAUUACGUGACUGACAGAAAAGGAUGAGCCGUAUGCAAGAGCUGGAACGGAGAUGGUAAUGAGUGUGAUAAUGUGUGAAUUUGAUUUUGUUGCUGUCAAAUAUAUCAGAUAAUGGUUUUAUCAAGAGGCAACUCUAUUUAUUUUACAUGUCAAAGUCAAUUUACCA
ensembl:lncRNA